rnacentral:lncRNA from 1 species
CAAGUCUCGUCUUCUUCCUCUACCCAAAAGUUUUAAACAAACAAAAAGGUCCAAACAAGUCAAGAGGAGGACUUGUCAUUCGCUUUAAUAAUAAUAGUCUUCGAGAGCAGGAAAUAUUAGCAAAUAGCUACGUGGGUAUCUUUGGGGUUUCCAACCUCAUACCACAUAGGAAUAAACUAUUAACCUCAUACCCUCGUCAGUAGCUACCUAUUCUUUAUAGGAAAAUGCUAGGCACUUAAAUAAUUAAAAGACAACGUGUCUAUGUAGCAAAAAAAAGGAUAUUGACUUGUACCCCAAAAAAAAAAAAGGAUAUUGACUAAAAAAAGAAAACAAACACAAAUGUGUUGUAAAGAAGAAAUAUGUGGAGUCCACAUUUAUGGGGCCCACAAAGAAAAUUAAGCAAAGUAUUUGGAGGUUUAUCAGCUGCACACUCACGGAUGUGUAUUGUAGAAUCACGGGUGCCAUUUAACAUCUCUAUAAAUAGAGAAAGAAGAAGAGAGAAAGAAAAGAAAAAGAAGAAGAGAGAAAGAGAUAGGAAACGGAAAGAAGAAAAAGAAGAAGAGAGAAAGAGAUAGGAAACGGAAAGAAGAAAAGAAAAAGAGAGAAAGAGAUAGGAAACGGAAAGAAGAAAAAGAAGAAGAGAGAAAGAGAUAGGAAACGGAAAGAAGAAAAGAAAAAGAGAGAAAGAGAUAGGAAACGGAAAGGAGGAAAGGAAAGGAGGAAAGAAGAGGGUAAGUAAGCAGAGAGAAAAUUCAGUGAGUCACACAUAUUGUAAACACUAUUGUAGUCAUAUUAUUAUAUAGUGAAAAGUUACUGUUGCUGCUCUCCGAGGACGUAGGCGUAGCCGAACCUCGUUAAAUACUGUGUCUCAUCUACUUUACGUGCAGCUCAAAAUUCGCACAUAUCCCAGGUUAUUUUAUAACACGUUAUCAGCACGAUAGUCUCUCCUUUUAUUUCUGAAAUUUUUCCAACUCAACACUAUAUAAUAUACUAUAUUUAUCUGUUUCUCUAUUACUAACCAUUAACAAAAAUGGACCCUUGGUAAUACUAAACAUAUUAUCAGUGGGAGACCGUUACUAAUACUAACUUUUUUUUUAUUCGGUGGUGGUUUUAACCCCACAUUUAAUUUUAUUUAUGGUAUGGUGUAGGCUUAUUACCCAUACGGCAAUAUUUAUUUAAAGGGUGGUGCGGGUUUAUCGUCCACGCCUUUACUUUUAUUUAAAUAUAUGGAGCAGAAUUAGUGCCCAUACAAGCACAUUUACUUUACCGCACAUUUAAGGUAUGGUGCGGGUUUAUCGUCCAUACCAGCAAAUUCAUAACACUUUACUUUUAUCAUCAAUUAAUAUACCUGAAUAAUGAGGACCUGAAAUUCCUAUUAAUAAGUGGCUUAAUAUUCCAGAUCUCGAGCCUAAAGUUUUGGAUGGCAAAUUUGGCAAAACUAGAGUUUGCUGCCUUGGACCUUUCCGGGGACAACUAUUUAUCAUGGGUCCUGGAUGCCAAAAUUCAUCUACGAGUCAAUGGCCUCGGACAAACAAUUGUAGAUGAGAAUGAUGCUUCGCCUGAAGAGAAUGCGAAGGCCAUGAUCUUUCUUCGCCGCCACAUCCAUGAAGCGCUGAAGAGCGAAUAUGUGGUGGUUGAUGAACCGUUGGUUCUGUGGAAAGCUCUAGGUGAAAGAUACGAUCACCAGAAGACGGUGACUCUCCCAAGAGCUAAUACGAAUGGACCCACUUGAGAUUUCAAGAUUUCAAGUCAGUGUCCAAGUAUAACUCUGCUAUGCACAGAAUUACCCCAUUAAUGAGGCUAUGUGGGGAAAAUAUAUCUGAUGAGGAUAUGCUCGAAAAAACUCCGAGCACUUUUCAUGCUUCAAAUGUCCUCCUUCAGCAGCAAUACAGACAUAGCGGUUUCAAGAAGUACUCGGAACUUGUAUCUUGCCUCUUGUUAGCUGAGCAGAAUAAUGAGCUCUUAUCAAAGAAUCACCAAUCUCGCCCAACGGGCUCAGCACCACUUCCUGAAAUAAAUGCUGCAUCUCAGGAAGUGAAUGCCACUUCAUCUCGUGGCAGUAUCUACAAACGUGAGCGAGGGGGCAAGCGUGGCCACUGGCAAGGAAGUAGAAAAAAUCGUGGUGCUCGUUCAGAGGGUUUAGGUCCAAGGAGCGGUCCAUCCACGAAUGGCAAAAAUGCAUCCCGUAAUAAGGGAAAGGCACAGAUGAGCCAUGUGCCUAGAAAUGUUGAAAGCCCUUGUCACAGAUGUGGUGCAAAGGGACAUUGGGUGCGCGCAUGUCGUACGCCCAGGCAUUUGGUUGAUCUCUAUCAAGCUUCACUUAAGAACAGGAAAGUGGAGAUAAAUUACAUUGAUCAUGCUCCGCCAGCCACAGAUGGCUCAUCAGAAAUAUCACGUCAGCUAAACAAGACGCAUCUAGCUGUUUCUGAUUUUGUUACUGAAAAAGGGAAUGAAGGUUAUGUGUCCGAAUUAGAUUAAAUUCCUUAAUAUACUAUUUGUAUUAGCUGAAGUGUUGUUUAAAUUUCAAUCCAAUAAAAGUGGUAAUGUUUUCUUCUUUAUUAAUCCAGCUUAUUUUACUUAUUUGGUGGCAUGGAUGCAAAUUAUGGAUGCCCUCAAAACAAAGGCUAUGGCAGAGAUAUUUGUCUCGCAGACAGCGCAACUACUCAUACGAUCCUUCAAGAUCGGAAGUAUUUCUCAAAAUUAAUGCUUACAAAAGCAAAGGUAACAACCAUAUCAGGUCCUGCAGAUCUGAUUGAAGGUUCAGGAAUAGCCCAAAUUAUGUUACCGAAUGGAACAAUACUGUCCAUUCCAGAUGCUUUGUAUUCAUCUAACUCCAGAAGGAAUCUGUUGAGUUUCAAAGAUAUACGUUUGAAUGGCUACCAUGUUGAAACAAAGAAAGAGGAAAACAUGGAAUAUCUUUGUAUUACCUCCAGUGAUACUCAAAAGCGUAUACUGGAAAAGCUUUGUGAGCUCUCAUCAGGGUUGUAUUACACAACCAUACGGACAAUUGAGGCACAUAGUGUCAUGGACCAAGAGUCCACUGACUCAAAUGCUUUUAAGCUUUGGCAUGACAGGUUGGGUCAUCCUGGAUCCACCAUGAUGCGCAGGAUCAUCACCAACUCUAAAGGACAUCCCUUGUUGACUAAACACAUUAUGUUAUCAAGCGACAUCUUUUGCCAAGCUUGUUCACAAGGGAAGUUGGUGAUCAGACCAUCACAACCAAAGGUUGAUGUUGAGUCUCCAUCAUUUUUGCAGAGAAUUCAAGGGGACAUUUGUGGACCCAUUCAUCCCCCAUGUAGACCAUUUCGGUACUUUAUGGUCUUGGUAGACGCAUCUACCCGAUGGUCACAUGUUUGUCUUUUAUCUACUCGGAAUAUGACAUUUGCUAUGCUUUUGGCUCAGAUAAUUAAAUUACGAGCCCAAUUCCCAGAUUAUCCCAUUAAGUCAAUCAGACUCGAUAAUGCUGGUGAAUUUACAUCUCAGACUUUUGAUGACUACUGCAUGUCACUAGGCAUUGAUAUUGAACAUCCUGUUCCCCAUGUGCAUACUCAAAAUGGCUUGGCAGAAGCUUUAAUUAAACGCCUUCAAUUGAUAGCACGCACUUUGCUAAUGAAAACAAAGUUGCCAUUUUCUGCUUGGGGAUAUGCCAUUUUACAUGCAGCAUCGCUUGUGCGAUUGAGGCCCGUCACCAACAAUCAAUGUUCUCCAAUACAACUCGUAUUGGGAAAUCAACCAAACAUUUCACAUUUAAGAAUUUUUGGGUGUGCAGUAUAUGUGCCCAUUGCACCACCGCAACGUACUAAGAUGGGCCCUCAACGCAGAUUGGGAAUUUAUGUUGGUUUUGAUUCACCAUCUAUCAUCAGAUACUUGGCACCCCUGACGGGUGAUAUUUUUACCGCACGAUUUGCGGAUUGUGAUUUUGAUGAGACAAUCUUCCCACCAUUAGGGGGAGAAAAAUCUGUGUCUAAAGAACAAGGCAAACUCAUUCCUGAAAAACGACAUGAAUUAUCCUGGAAUGUAUCCACAUUGUCUCAUCUCGAUCCUCAUACUGCUCAAUGCGAAAACGAAGUGAGAAGGAUCGUUCACCUCCAAAGUAUUGCCAAUCAGAUGCCAGAUGCAUUUAAUGAUGCAGCAAAGGUGACAAAAUCUCAUAUCCCAGCUGCAAAUACACCCGCACGGAUUGAUGUCCAUAAUGGACAAAGCAAUAUCCCAGCAAAUGGUUCAUCUGCUGCACGCCUAAAACGUGGCAGACCACUAGGCUCAAAGGAUUCAAUUCCUCGAAAGAGGAAGUUGAUGGACAAAAUGAAUCCAAAUGAAAUAAAUAGAGAGCCCACAAUUCAUAAUUCAAAUGCCCCCAAAGAGGGACAGGUACUUCUUGAUAAGGAAAACGUCAUUGGUGAGACAAGUGCCCCUGGAGUGGCAACCGUACCUGAAAGUCAAGAAAUCUCCAUAAAUUAUACGUCCACUGAUGAAUUGUGGAGUAGAAAUGAGAUGAUCAUCGAUGAUAUAUUUGCAUUCUCAGUGGCUGCUGAGAUCAUAAAAGAUGAUGAUAUUGAGCCGUGCUCUAUUAAUGAAUGUACACAGAGGCAAGAUUGGCCCAAGUGGAAAGAUGCAAUCCAGGCAGAAUUAAAUUCUUUGGAAAAAAGGAGUGUUUUUGGACAUAUUAGUCCAACUCCACCCAAUGUGAACCCUGUAGGUUACAAGUGGGUAUUUACAAGAAAGCGCAAUGAGAAAAAUGAGAUCUCAAGGUAUAAAGAGCGACUCGUUGCGCAAGGUUUUUCACAAAAGCCUGGAAUUGAUUAUGUGGAAACGUACUCUCCAGUAAUGGACACAAUUACAUUCCGUUACCUAAUAAGUUUGGCGGUUUCAGAAAAACUUAAAAUGAGACUCAUGGAUGUCAUUACCGCAUAUUUGUAUGGAGAAUUGGAUACAGAUAUAUACAUGAAAGUUCCAGAAGGAUUCAGGUUGCCUGAAGCAGCCAGAAACAAACCACGGGACAUGUUCUCAGUUAAAUUGAGAAAAUCAUUAUAUGGGCUAAAACAAUCUGGACGAAUGUGGUACAAUCGUCUCAGUAAGUAUUUACUGAAGGAAGGAUACACAAAUGAUUCUAUUUGCCCAUGUGUGUUUAUUAAGAAAUCAGAGUCUGGAUUUGCGAUAGUGGCAGUAUAUGUCGACGACAUGAAUCUAAUUGGAACUUCUGAAGAGCUUCAAAAGACUGUUGAUUAUCUCAAACGUGAGUUUGAGAUGAAGGACCUUGGAAAGACAAAAUAUUGUCUUGGCUUGCAGAUUGAGCACAGUGCUAAUGGAAUUUUGGUGCAUCAAUCAACUUAUACUGAGAAAGUAUUGGAACGGUUUGGCAUGGAUAAAGCCCAUCCACUUAGCACUCCAAUGGUCGUUCGAUCGCUUGACACUAAGAAAGACCCAUAUCGUCCAAAAGAGAAUGAUGAAAUGGUCCUUGGUCCAGAAGUACCAUAUCUUAGUGCAAUAGGUGCCUUAUUGUACCUAGCACAAUGUACCAGACCAGACAUAUCAUUCUCAGUAAAUCUGUUAGCAAGGUACAGUUCUGCUCCAACAAGGCGACACUGGACCGGCAUCAAACAUGUUCUACGAUACCUUCGUGGGACAACAGACAUUGGGUUAUUCUAUUCCAGCGAAUCGACCAAUGCCCAGAGUAUUAUUGGUUAUGCUGAUGCAGGAUAUCUCUCUGAUCCACAUCAAGGACGAUCACAGACUGGGUAUGUAUUUACAUGUGGAGGAACUGCGAUCUCAUGGCGCUCAACAAAACAAACAUUAGUGGCCACAUCUUCUAAUCACUCAGAAAUACUUGCCCUCCAUGAAGCCAGUCGUGAAUGCGUUUGGUUAAGGUCGGUAAUCCAUCACAUCCGAAGCACAUGUGCCCUACCCUCAACAACAGACACUCCAACAAUUCUGAAUGAGGACAAUGCAGCUUGUAUUGCUCAGAUCACAGGAGGAUAUAUUAAGGGUGACAGGACCAAGCACAUAUCACCAAAGUUUUUCUAUACACAUGAGCUCCAGAAGAGUCAAGAAAUCAAAGUCAGACAAAUCCGUUCAAGUGAUAACCUGGCAGAUCUCUUCACUAAAUCAUUGCCGAAAUGUACAUUCCAAAAGUUAGUGCAUGGCAUCGGAUAACGACAACUCUGCAAGCAAUCAAGUUGGAGCAUGCAAAAUCAGGGGGAGCAUUCAAAAGUCCUCUAACAUAGGACAUAUGCACGUUGUACUCUUUUUCCUUCGCUUAGGUUUUUUCCCACUGGGUUUUUCCAAGCAAGGUUUUAAUGAGGCAACCAAUCUAGGGACAUGUGGUCUCCAAGGGGGAGUGUUGUAAAGAAGAAACAUGUGGAGCCCACAUUUAUGGGGCCCACAAAGAAAAUUAAGCAAAGUAUUUGGAGGUUUAUCAGCUGCACACUCACGGAUGUGUAUUGUAGAAUCACGGGUGCCAUUUAACAUCUCUAUAAAUAGAGAAAGAAGAAGAGAGAAAGAAAAGAAAAAGAAGAAGAGAGAAAGAGAUAGGAAACGG